AUUGAACGCUGGCGGAAUGCUUUACACAUGCAAGUCGAACGGCAGCACGGGUGCUUGCACCUGGUGGCGAGUGGCGAACGGGUGAGUAAUAUAUCGGAACGUACCCAGUAAUGGGGGAUAACUAGCCGAAAGGUUAGCUAAUACCGCAUACGCCCUGAGGGGGAAAGCGGGGGACCGUAAGGCCUCGCGUUAUUGGAGCGGCCGAUAUCUGAUUAGCUAGUUGGUGGGGUAAAAGCCUACCAAGGCGACGAUCAGUAGCUGGUCUGAGAGGAUGAUCAGCCACACUGGAACUGAGACACGGUCCAGACUCCUACGGGAGGCAGCAGUGGGGAAUUUUGGACAAUGGGGCAACCCUGAUCCAGCCAUUCGCGUGAGUGAAAAAGGCCUCGGGUUGUAAAGCUCUUUUGCAAAGGGAAGAAAAGCUUACCUUUUAAUACGAGGUGAGGCUGACGGUACCUUGAUAAGAAGCACCGGCUAACUACGUGCCAGCAGCCGCGGUAAUCGUAGGGUGCGAGCGUUAAUCGGAAUUACUGGGCGUAAAGCGUGCGCAGGCGGUUUUGUAAGUCAGAUGUGAAAU
rnacentral:rRNA from 1 species